AACGAACGCUGGCGGCGUGGAUAAGACAUGCAAGUCGAGCGCUGAUUACGGGGUAGCAAUAUUCCGUAGUUGGAGCGGCGCAAGGGUGCGUAACACGUGGGUAAUCUGCCAUGAAGUUUGGAAUAACUCGCUGAAAGGCGAGCUAAUACCGGAUGUGAAAACUGGAAGGCAUCUUCUGGGUUUCAAAGCUGGGGACCGUAAGGCCUGGCGCUUCAUGAUGAGCCCGCGGCCUAUCAUCGGUAGUUGGCGGGGUAACGGCCCACCAAGCCUGAGACGGGUAGCUGGUCUGAGAGGACGACCAGCCACACUGGAACUGAGACACGGUCCAGACACCUACGGGUGGCAG
rnacentral:rRNA from 1 species